AUCAGAAUCAGAAAGGGCUUUACUGACAGAACAACAAACAGAGGCCCCAUCAGAUAUGAAUACAGAGGACAGCCAUGAACCAGUGCAAAUUCCUGCUGAAAAGCAAAGUGGCAUUCAUGCUGGGCUAUUGUCUAACUCUGCAUCAUCUCCAACAUCAACUAAAGAAACAGGCUCCAUUGUACCUGAAUCAUCUGAGCAAACGUCUCAAGCAUGGGAUUCAGUGGCAAAGCAGCCUCUCUAUGAACAAGAUAAGGAUAAGACAAUCUCUCUUGAGACACAAAAUCUCUCCGGGAAACCAGAUGAUAAUGAAAAGCACACCAAAACUGAACAGCAUACAUUCGCUGAACAAAAUGACAAGAAAGAAGACCAAGCAGCCAUAGAUGAGAGAGAAGCCCCAAAUACAAGAAAACCAGAGUAUUCUCUUGAUCCAUGUCCAGUUACUGAAGAAACCAGCCAAAACAUUGAGGCUGUUGACACCAAAUCAAAUAAGAAAACAAACACACGCCUUGCAGAGAGACAGGAACAGCAGCCAAGAAACGGAACAGUCAGUGUCUCCAGGUCAGCAAUGCCCUCCUGCCCUCUUGGUCAGAGUGAUGAGAAGGCGGGUCUUCUAGUGGCAGCAAAUAUCUUAGGAACAUCCCCUGAACACCAUGCACCACAAACUUUACCAAGCAGUGGAUAUAUGUAUGUGUACUUCCAUGCUGUCACUUCAAAAGACUUUCAUUUGGAUCCAGAAAAGGAUAAGAUUUUCUUGAGGUCUGGAAAAUUGUUUGGAGGUUGGGAUAAACGUGGCCAG
rnacentral:lncRNA from 1 species